rnacentral:tRNA from 1 species
GGCAAGGUGGCCGAGCGGUCUAAGGCGCUAGUUUCAGGUACUAGUCCGAAAGGGCGUGAGUUCGAAUCUCACCCUUGUCA